rnacentral:tRNA from 1 species
GGUGUAGCUCAGUGGUAGAGUGCAUGCUUUGUCUGUAUGACAUCCUGAGUUCAAAUCCCAGCUGCUCCC